GUAAAAGUUUCGUUUGAUCUGAACACUGUUCAAAUAAAAUAUCUGGAUGAGGAAAAUGAAGAG
ensembl:misc_RNA